rnacentral:rRNA from 1 species
CCUACGGGAGGCAGCAGUAGGGAAUAUUGCUCAAUGGGGGAAACCCUGAAGCAGCAACGCCGCGUGGAGGAUGAAGGUUUUCGGAUUGUAAACUCCUUUUGUUAGAGAAGAUAAUGACGGUAUCUAACGAAUAAGCACCGGCUAACUCCGUGCCAGCAGCCGCGGUAAUACGGAGGGUGCAAGCGUUACUCGGAAUCACUGGGCGUAAAGGGCUCGUAGGCGGGAUAGCAAGUCAGAUGUGAAAUCCUAUGGCUUAACCAUAGAACUGCAGUUGAAACUGUUAUUCUAGAGUAUGUGAGAGGUAGGUGGAAUUCUUGGUGUAGGGGUAAAAUCCGUAGAGAUCAAGAGGAAUACUCAUUGCGAAGGCGACCUGCUAGAACAUAACUGACGCUGAUGCGCGAAAGCGUGGGGAGCAAACAGGAUUAGAUACCCGUGUAGUC